UACGGAGGGAGCUAGCGUUGUUCGGAAUUACUGGGCGUAAAGCGCACGUAGGCGGUUAUUCAAGUCAGAGGUGAAAGCCCGGGGCUCAACUCCGGAAUUGCCUUUGAAACUAGAUAACUUGAAUCCAGGAGAGGUGAGUGGAAUUCCGAGUGUAGAGGUGAAAUUCGUAGAUAUUCGGAAGAACACCAGUGGCGAAGGCGGUUCUCUGGGACGGUACUGACGCUGAGACGCGAAAGCGUGGGGAGCGAACAGG
rnacentral:rRNA from 1 species